rnacentral:rRNA from 1 species
GUGGAUUAGAUACCCUGGUAGUCCACGCCCUAAACGAUGUCAACUGGUUGUUGGGGAAUUCAUUUCCUUAGUAACGAAGCUAACGCGUGAAGUUGACCGCCUGGGGAGUACGGUCGCAAGAUUAAAACUCAAAGGAAUUGACGGGGGCCCGCACAAGCGGUGGAUGAUGUGGUUUAAUUCGAUGCAACGCGAAAAACCUUACCUACCCUUGACAUGUCCUGAACCCUGCUGAAAGGUGGGGGUGCCCGAAAGGGAACGGGAACACAGGUGCUGCACGGUCGUCGCCAACU